rnacentral:lncRNA from 10 species
GAAGACUGGUGGUGCUGCUGGAAUAAAAGGAGUGAUGGAAGACAGGUGAGGGUGUGAGGAGAAAAGGCCUCAGCUGCUUUAUCUGAAAAUCAUUGGAAAAAAUAGCCGUUCUUUAUCAGAAAAUUUGACUUUAAGAGGUUUCAUAUGGCAAAGCCUGGAAGAAAAAGACAUUUUCAUAAAACCCAUCUAAACCCAUAAAACUCAGAAUUCACCUCAUAAUUAUUCUCAACUCCAUUCAUUUGACAUUUACUGUGGAUUGUCUGAUUCUUAAUUAAUACUAUGCAAUGACUGUUUAUGUUACCCCAAAAUUCAUAUGUUGAAACCCUUAUCCCCAUUGUGACUGUAUUUGGAGGUGGGACCUUUGGGAGGUAAUUAGGGUUAGAUGAAGUCAUAAGAACAGAACCCCAUAAUGGGAUUAAUGCCCUUAUAUAAAAUGGAAGAGACACAAGACUAAUCUGCCUGUGUAUACCAAGGAAAGGCCAUGUGAGGACAUAAAAGGGAAAGGGCUGUCUUAGUUCACAAGAAUACAAGAUUAAUCUUGUGUCUCAUCUGUUUUAUAUAAGGGCACUUAUUUAUCAUUUAUUCUGCUAUUACGGAAUACCGGAGACUGAGUAAUUUAUAAAAACAAAAAUUUAUUUCUCAUAUUUCUGGAGGCUGGGAAGUCCAAGAUCAAGGUGCUGGCAUCUGUUGAGGGCCUUCAGAAGAGAAAGAGCGAAAAGGAAUGAGUGUUGUGUCUUCAAAUGGCAGAAUACAAGGUGAAACCACUCCACUAAGCACUUUUAA